CAGUCGUACCGGCGGAUAAUCAGCCUUUCGGGUGCGAUUCUGUGGGGCGUGAGGAGCUUAACCGCCUUCAUGUUUUGCAUAUUCGUGCACAUUUGGUGUACUUGUCCGUGUGGUGGGUUAACAUCAAUUUCGGUCGUCAUAAAAUGAUUGGAGGAAUGUAGCUUUGAUCUCGUAUCGAAGUGUUAUAGACUCUGGUAGAUGCGGUGACCGAGACUGAGGAUUGCAACGAAUACCCUUCUGGGCUAUCCGUCUGACCUCUGAAAGUUGCUUAGGUACCGAAAGCGUGCUUACGGUCAUUUAAGUUGACGGUCAACAGGUUAGAACGCGAUUACAUUCGUAAGGACGUUGGCGUAAUGG
rnacentral:rRNA from 1 species